rnacentral:lncRNA from 1 species
AAUUUUAACACAAGGUUUAUGACCAUAAAAGGAAGGUUGGUAUUGAUUUUGGGAGUUUUGGUCCCAACAUUUUAGGAAUAAGGGGCCAAAAAGGGCCCAAAUAAGCAUUUUCUUGGUUUUCGCACCAUAUAACUUUAGUUUAAGUUAAUAGAAAUCUAUGAAAUUUUGACACAAGGUUUAUGACCACAAAAGAAAGAUUGGGAUUGAUUUUGGGAGUUUUGGUUUCAAUAGUUUAGGAAUAAGGGGCCAAUAAAGGGCCCAAAUAAGCAUUUUUCUUGGUUUUUGCACAAUAACCUUAGGUUAAGUAAAUAGAAAUCUAUGAAAUUUAAACACAAUGUUUAUGACCAUAAAAGGAAGGUUGGUAUUGAUUUUGGGAGUUUUGG